rnacentral:rRNA from 1 species
GCUCCAAUAGCGUAUAUUAAAGUUGUUGCAGUUAAAAAGCUCGUAGUUGGAUUUCUGUUGAGCGUCCGGUCCGCUUCUUUGAAGUGUGUUACUAGGAUGUUUGAGACAUUUUUUGUGAGGAUGUCCUUCUGCCAUUCAGUUAGUGGUUGGAUAGACUUGCAUCGUUUACUGUGAAAAAAUUAGAGUGUUUAAAGCAGGCG